rnacentral:lncRNA from 1 species
UCUAUCUCCCCUCGUUUCUCUCGCUCCCGUCACCCCACGAACAGAUCCCGCCCUUUAGCUUCCCGUUUCAUCUCCUUAAUAUUCGUAACUGAGGCAAAAAUCAAGGUAGGGCGGUCGCCCUACCGGGUCCUCCGCCCUUGUGUGCAUCUAGAAUAAUGUCCGUGCUCACAUGCGUGCUUGAAAGCAUGGGUUCAUCCUGUAGCAGACCUCACUUGAACGAGGCGGAAGCAGCUGAAAACGGAAAAGUAAGCUCUAACUGAUGCAAGUAAAUGGCUACGCGGAUUGGGUCGACUGCCACAUUUGAUUUCCUUCUGAUACACCUGGUAACAGUCUGCAGAGAUUGACCGGCGGAUUUUGCAAGAGACCAAGGCUGAGCAGCACAUCCACAAGCUCUUACUUCUCGGUACUACCAACUGGCUGAAACUUGAAGAGACAUUUCCUUAUGUUUGUGUAUUUCCUUUGUUUUUAUCAUGUCUGUUAUUAACAAAUUAGUGAAAAGUAAUGAUCCUAGAAAAAAACACUUUUCUGUACUGAUAGCGGUCCUUUUCAAUUUUUUUGUUUUAUCUCAAGGUGCUGGAGAAUCAGGAAAGUCUACGAUAUUUAAACAGGUAAGGCUUCUUUAUGUAUCCUGGAAAAUCAUUAUUCCUAUGACAUUGGUGUGUCUUAUGUAUUCUGAAUGUUUGUUCGCAGAUAAAGCUCCUUUUCCAAACUGGCUUUGAUGAGGCAGAACUGAGGAGCUAUAUAUCAGUCAUCCAUGCUAACGUAUAUCAGACAAUUAAAGUAUGCAAUACUGGAAAGGGUGUGUUCAAUAUUUUUUUUUCCUCGUAGUGGGGAUUAUGUAGGGAGUUUGAUUAGGGAGCUGUAUGAUGUGUUUGUGCCUCUUUUGCCUUAGUAACAAGUUAAAUGUGCACAGAUACUAUAUGAUGGAGCUAAAGAACUAGCCCAAGUGGAACCAGAGUCUUCAAAGUAUGUCAUAUCCCCAGAUAAUCAGGUAUGUACAUCCUAUUUUGUUUCGAAAAUAAAGUUACAUAUGGGCAUAAACAUCCAUAUCUCUGCCAUGGGUUUACAGCCCUAUGGGAGGCACACCAAGGAUUAGGGCAGCAGGUUAUUAUGGACAGCAUCUCUUUAUGAUUUGUUAUUAUUACAUUCUUUUAGACAAGAUUAAUUACCUUAUGUUAAAAAUAGCUUUCUAAGGGGCUAAGCCGACCUGUCUACAAAAGGAAGAGCAUGUAUCCCACAUGAAUUAGUCAGAAAUAACCAAUCUAUCUCCAGUCUCCUUCUGCCUGCCGUUGAGGCGCUGCUGCCGGCAAGGUGCCAUCACACUUCUUGGCUCCAUGGCUGCCUUGAAUUAGGCUUAAAUAGCCCCUAUCUACCCCACACGUGUCAAUCUGACAACAAAUUUGGUCUGUAACUACUGAAGAAAUAGGCUAUACUCAAACCUGUUCAGACUUUGCACUUGCAAUUAGCUCUGCCGCAUUAUUUUGUUUUAUUGUGGCAUUCAUAAGUGCAAGGAUAUGUAUUGAACUGUUAUAAUUUAGCCAAAUGGAACAUAUAUAUAAUGAUUUCUAGCUUGUCCUCCUUUGAUUUUCCACAAAUAUAUCUUCUACUAGAUGGGAAUAAAUACUCUACAUUGUUAUUAUACUUGAUUUCUUCAGACAAGAAGAUUAACUCGGUAAUUGUUCGUCGGCUCAAAUAAUUGUCCUUUUGAAUGUUGAUUGUUUAUAUUUGAGCACUUUGAGGGCUUGACAGUUUACCUUGUUUGAUGGUUCUGAUACUAAUUCCUUGUUAAGUAUUGCCUUCUUUUUAUACAAGAUAGUGGUCACCAGCUUUAUAUUAUUAUUUGACUGGAUUGCCAGCUUUAUAUCGCACACCUUACAAAAUCAAUGAGAUUAUAAAGUGUGUUUCUUUAGAGUGGCAUGCUAUCCUAAUUUCAGGAGAUUGGAGAAAAAAUAUCAGAAAUCGGUGGCAGGUUGGAUUACCCACUGCUUUGUGAAGAACUUGUACAUGACAUAAGAAAAUUAUGGGAAGAUCCAGCCAUUCAGGUGGAGCAAAAGUUCUUAUCUCAAUUUCUUUAAAUGUGUUUACUGUCAAAUGGCUAGCUUAACUAAAAGGAGAUGCAUCUGUAGGAAACUUACUCACGUGGAAGUAUUCUUCAAGUUCCUGACUGUGCACAGUACUUCAUGGAAAAUUUGGACCGAUUAGCUGAAGCAGAUUAUGUACCAACAAAGGUCUGCAAUUAUCCACUAUCUAAUUAUUGUAUAGAGACAUUUAUUUACUGGUUUUCUGAUGUCUCUGAAACAGUACAUCAUUUGUUUCAUAUUGGUUGUCAGUAUUGUUGUGAGGACCGUUAUAUGAUCUCACUAAUGCCAACUGACGUGCAUCUUAUCCUUGGAUUGUGAUUCAUCUCGUCUAAUUGCUAGUAUCGCGACACAUGUGUGGUUAGAUGCAUAUCGGAAAGAUCAGGUCAUGUGAUUGGGCAGUGUCGGGGUGCUCGCGAGAGAAGUGAGCUCGCCCCAGAGUGUGCUCUGCCCCCGGCCCAAGGUCAAUGACGCAUCUCCUCCUCAGCAUCGAAGAGGGCAGCGUGGAACCUGAGUGUCACCUCAGAGCACCGCUGCUGGCGCUAGGAUGAUGAUAUGUUCCUACUACUGCUCCUCGGUGUUGGAUUGCGCAGUUUGGUUCACAAGGACAGUGAUGCCACAUUCUUGUGUUCCUCCUCGAUCUCGGUGUCAUAGUGCUGAGUGUGAGAUACGAGCUCGCUGCAAAGUGUGACUACUGGCGCAAGGGGCAUGAUGCUGCUCUUGCUCCUCCUGGGUGUCGGCGUCUUGACAAUUUGGCCCGGCGAUACUCGACUUGCCUGCGCUCAACCCGUCAAACCCAUGCAAAGUGUCCAGCCCAAAAUCUUUCACACCAUGUUAUUUGUGAGCUGGGCAAAACCGCGUUAACCCGGCCAUGGCUGUGAAUAGGCCUACCGUCAUCUUAUUCUGGUUAUCAUAUGGAUAUAAUGAUGGUUAGAUAUAACAUAUGAUAGUUUUAUUUCUCUUUGUAAACUGUUGGAGUCUAAUAUUUCAAAACUCAAUAUUAAUGGGUCAAAUAUUCACUUUAACUAGGGUCUGCAGAACCCCCUUGCCUAGUUACACGGCCAAACGAUCCACAUUAAACUAAUUUAGUCAGUUGGUGGCAGCGGUCCGCGCCACACAUCUGGUACAAACUGUUAGGAUGAGAGCAUGUAUGAGAGCUUGAUAUGGCACAUUCUUUGUGAAUCUGUAGCUCCGUACUGUUGUUAUGCUAGUUAAACUAAACAUCCUAUACCUUGGCUACUAGACGGUUAUUUACAAGGCACAAUCUUAUUAUCUGAACACCUUGACCUUUUGAGUUUCCACAUGUGCACUGAACUGUCGAUCAAAAGUUCAGUUACUUAGUUUAUGUGUUUGUAAGUACUUUGCUUCAUCCUAAGUGUAUGGAAACUGAAAUUCAUGUGUUGUUUAAUUUUCUUUAUACAAGGGAUUCCCUCCAUAUUUCUGUUCAACAUUUCUAGAUUCCCUGGUCACUACUAGCUGUGGAAGUUCUAGAAUCUGCAUAUGGAAUUAUUGAUAAUUUGUUGCUCUGCAUGGUUACUCAAGGAUAGCUUUAAGGGGUGGUUACUGUUCUAUCAUUCUUAUUCUUAUUCAAGAAUACAUCUGCAGUAUUUUGCUUAACAUUUUGAGAGAUUUUGCAGGAGGAUGUGCUCCAUGCAAGAGUACGGACAAAUGGCGUUGUGGAAAUUCAAUUUAGGUAAUAUGUUUACCCGAGGUUUGCAUAUUUCUUUUGCUCUACUCCAUACAGGAUGACAGACUUGUAUCUUUUAACAUCCAAGAUACAUCAUGAGAGGAUUCAAACGAGACUCGUCAUGUUAACUGGGUAGUCUUUGUGCAGCCCUCUUGGAGAGAGCAAAAGAGGCGGGGAGAUAUAUAGGUUGUAUGAUGUAGGAGGUCAAAGAAAUGAGAGGAGGAAGUGGAUUCAUCUUUUUGAAGGUGUUGAUGCUGUUGUCUUUUGUGCUGCCAUUAGUGAGUAAGUACCAUUUCUAAACUGCUAAGUUCUUCUGAAGCUACCUGCUUACUUAACAUUUAGUUUGUCUGGGCAGCACUGCAUAAGGAAGUGCUGUUAGUUGUUAGCAUUUAAAAGCUUUUGUCUAUACUCUGAUCAACACUCAUUCUGUGAUUUGUUAGUCAGGUUUAAUUGUGGUGCUUGGACUUGAGCUGUAUUAUCUUUUUUUACUUUUGAAUUUAAAAUCAAUAUGCGCUAAGAAUUUAAAUACUUGAUCAACUUAGAACUUGCUCCAUUAAUUCAAAUUGAUGAUGCGGGAAAUAAGCUAAUAUUUGCACGUAUGGAUGCUUCCUGACACGAGAAGUCAAGAAUACACACUUCCGGCACAAAGCAUAUGAACUUCCACUUCACAUAAAUGUUAUCAUUAUUGUUUGUUAUUUGACUAUUAUUGAUUUUAUUAUUCACUAACAAAAGCAAAUGAAAGGCAUCUUAACUAUGUUAACAAGCAUCUUUCUUUGUAUGUAAAGUAUUUAUAACCAUGCCUUAAUGUAGCAACAAUGGCUACAGCGCUUACAUUUAUGUUUGCACCAACAGCGUGUGCAUGCAACUACAUGAACUAGUGCACUGAAUGCUUGUGCCUACAAAUACAUGAAUAGGUGCACGGAGUGCUUGUGCAUGUGAAUACAUGCAUGUAGAGAGCCGGAGACACAACCUUUGAUGUAAUGUUGGGGCUUGUUAAUGUCAGGUACGACCAGAUGUUAUUUGAGGAUGAGGCACAGAAUAGAAUGAUGGAGACCAAGGAACUCUUUGACUGGGUAUUGAAGCAAAGAUGUUUUGAGGUCUGCAUACAUCCAUCUCAAAUUUUUUGUUCUCAUGCUAUGUAUCCCAUUUUGAAUCCUACUUGACGCGAUGCAUUUUUCCAGAAAACAUCAUUCAUGCUGUUCCUCAACAAAUUUGACAUAUUUGAAAGGAAAAUACAGAAGGUAACGAGUACCCUUCGUACCCAUUGAGAGAUGAGUAAUACUCAAAUCAGUACUCACAUUUGUGCCAACAUUUGCUGCCCUUAUUUGUAGGUUCCUUUAACUGUGUGCGACUGGUUUAAAGACUACCAACCGAUUGCGCCUGGGAAACAGGACGUGGAACAUGCCUAUGAGUGAGUGCACCCCUCUUAACGGUCUCCCUGCCACUCUUAACGGUCUUACAGAGGACAUCUGUCGGCUUAUGAUCUGGGGGCACGUUUUACAGGUUUGUCAAGAAGAAGUUUGAAGAGCUCUACUUCCAGAGUAGCAAGCCUGAUCGUGUCGACCGGGUGUUCAAGAUCUACAGAACAACGGCGCUGGACCAGAAACUUGUAAAGAAGACGUUUAAGUUGAUUGAUGAGAGCAUGAGACGCUCCAGGGAAGAAACCUGAUCGAGGAGGCUUGGUUUGCGAGCCACAGGAGAAGUCAGUUACGAUGGAACAGAAAGUUUAUGAUGUUGCGGCUCUGUAUUUUUUGUAAUUCUUUUUUUCACAGGAAGAACACUGAUUGUCCUCUUUGUGCUUUGACAAGCUAGGAAAGAAAUCUGAUGAUUACUAUGCAAGUUUGGAUUUAUUUAUUUUUUGCAGAUUUUCUCAGAUCCCCCUUCAUGGCGUCACACAGAGCACCGUGCAUUUGUUCCUGUCUGUGUGUAAUCUGGGUAUAUGUUUGCCAGUCAGUAUCAGAUGGUUACUGUAAAUGCAUGAUAAUUGUUGUGUGAUGAUUAAACUGGUAGAGAAGGAUAAGCAAAACGGUGAUGCCUACUAUUCAUACUUGGCGUUGUUCACACUUAUUGGACAUUUGGAUUUUUAUGUUCUUAUUAGCUAACAAUAUGGGGGUAAAUUCAUUGAAACCUGGGUCGAGCCAGUUCAGUUCUGCAGUUUUACAGCAAGUUUAUAAAGUGCAACGCAAAAGCCUGAUCAUACAACUGGCACAUGGCUCAGCGAGUGGCACAGAACACAGCCUGGAGAUGUUUGGUCGAAGUCUUCGGCUUCUUCAGCGGGGAAGGCUGCGGCAAGAGGUUGCCGAUCUCCAGGGGCAAAACGUGUCAUCGGAGCGUCGAACGUCACAUGGUAGCGCAAAUGGGUGGAGUUCAGAGCUGCAACGAUACAUUCUUGCAGAAAAAAAGAACACUGGAUGGGAUCACAGCAGAAGCUACAGGAAGAAAUUGACGAUAUUAGUGCUUGUUGUCUUGCAAGUUAGCUCGCUGGAUUCCCGCAGAAAGUUCACAUUUUAUCGCGGAAAAGGCGAUAUCUGCAGUGCAAAGGAAACAUUCAUUUGGCACAGCAGAUCAUAUUGUUUGUAGAAUAACAUUAUACUAGGAUCUGAAGAGAGCAGACACAUACCUUUCGAACUCUAGCUUCUGGGCAACAAUUCCAUUCAGCAAAACCUCCGAGUCAAAUAUUCCCAAACCUGCAACGAUGGCGAAGAAUGGGCAGAAUCUGCCCGUAAAUUCCAUAGAAGAAGAAACUGAAAGCCCCAGACAAAGAACUUUAUGGACAGAAGAUAUGUAGUGCUAGUGUACUAGUACAUACCAUUCUUAAUGAAAGGUAAACAGAUGUUGUGGUCUUGUUCACAAGAGAUUACAAAGGCUCCUCCAAAAUUCUUAUUCUUCAUAAACGCUGUGAACCUCUCCAAUGGCUGACAAACAAACAAACAAAACGUUAUCAGCAUGGAAGCAAGUUAAGAAAAUUCAAAGCAAUGUAUCGAAUAAAUGACAGUUGAAAGAACAAUUGUUCAAUUUCUGGCAAAACAAGUGCACACUAAGAAGUUGAGAAAAUAGAAAAAAAAGGUCACUAGAAAACUAGAUACAGGUACAUCCUAGCCAUGCUAGGGCUCCACUUUGGCUCCACAUACUUCCAUACCUUACAAGUUCCUUUUGGGUCUGCAUUGCAAUCACAAGGUCUCCCAAUUCAGGGUGCACUUUACAGUUUACAAAAGAACAUGUAACUCGAAACUGGCAUUGCCAUUAAAAUACACUCGACACUUAAACAAUUCAGCAGAUCCAUAAACAAGUAUCUAUAUUCAGAACGUCAAUGCAACAAAGGUAUACUGCCAAGAGCAAGGGGAUGGGGAUCUUCUCUAAUAAAAGAAAAUGGACAUCUGUAUGGAUACUGGAUAGAGAUAGGAAUAGGAUAGCCAAUUGCAUACCUUGCCACGAGCCGCCAGUACUAAACUUUUCAGAAGCUCCUUGGUAGGCUUAGCAUUUGGCGUGAUUAGUACUCUUAUACCCUAGAAUGAAUUUUAGAGACUCGGUAAAUAUGAAGAUAUCACAAAAAUUAUACGGAGUAAUAAAUUUGCCAAGACAAUAUUACUACGAAAGUUAAGAGAUCACGUCAAGAUUAUAUAAUUCUCCUCUGACACUAUUUGUUGUCUCAUUUUAAUUUAUUUUUAACUGCUAACAAAUUAGACACUAACCUCUAACAAUGGCUUUUUGCAGGCUUGGCUUAGUGAGGCAGGCAUGCUGAAGCCUAGCUCCUUUUCCUUCUUUGCAUCCCUCAUAAUGUAUUUUUUCUCAUCAAUGAAGCAUCUUGCUUCUCCACAGCAUUCAAGCCAUGAUGGUGUGACUACAGGUAUGCCCAUGGCUAUUGCUUCUAGCAUGUUCCUUGUACGAGCAAACUUUUCAGCAACAAAGUGUGUAGCCUCUGAAAUAGUAGUUGCCACUGGUAAUCCAAAGUGUAUCAAUAUCUGCCAGUAGUUGAAAAGUGAGAAACAUUGAGAUAUCUUCAAUUACUUGUGUUUAGUAUGUGCAAAUGAAAAAUGAAACUACCUUUGUUUGUUCUUUAAUGGUUUUGCUGUCCAUGCUUUGGCUGAAUAGAACACGGACUGUGGACAUAUGUCUCUUUCUUCGCCUGCUUGAUUGCAAAACUGGAGAUACUUCAUUACUAAAUAGACUAGCAAGCUCUCUGGAGCCUGCUGAUUUUGUCAGUCCUCUUUCCAUUGGCUUCUUGGUUGUAUGUGUCCUAGAUUGGGGCUCUGUACUAUUUAGCUUUCUCAGUGGUACUCUACUCUUGAAGCUAGAAUCAUUGUCUUUCUGUUCAGAUGUGGAUUGUUUUACCAGUCUGGUGCUAAAUGUUCCUUCAGGCUGACUGGAAUGCGAAGUUUUCUGAAUUCCUCGGACCUUGCUACGGGUUGUAAUUCCAACAGAAGCAUCAGCAGAGUUAGCAUCUGAUACAGAUGCUUCAUGAAUAGCUAAAGAAGACUUGCGGGACAUGUUUGUGCCUUUUAUGGUACCAGGAUCGAAUAUGCAUACUGUUUUUGCUGCUGGCAAUUCUGUUACUCCUGUAGUUUUGGCUCUGACUGUAGUUGAUCUGGUAGCUUUAUAGAACUCAACUUUCGAACUUCCCGAGGUAAGCAUACAGGUUCUCUUUCUUUUAGGAUGGAUUACAGCAUCUUUACCUAGUAAACGAGUAUUUGGGUCAUCUGGAUCAGAUCCCAUGAUUACUUCUGACACCUCAUCAUUUGUGACUCCUAAAACCCCACUGUCCAUGCUUCUUUUUGCUUUCCUUGUCAUCUGAUUUGUAUUCUUCAUAGUUUUUGACUUACUGGGACAAUUUGCCAAAGGGAUUGAACUUCCACCAUUUGGUCUUUCUAUGCCAUCUACCUUGAGUUGAUUAAAUUGUGUUAUCAUCCCCCCUGAGCUCUGAGGUAAGCAGGUUAGCUUUUGGUUUUGAAUUGGUGAGUUUACUGAACAUACCAUAUCCACUUCAAUUUCUUUCCCUAAAGAACUUUCCAGGUGAUCACUCUCCCUGACAUCAUAACUGACAGUUGCAUUGCACAAUGCUUCCAUCGCUUCAGCUGCCAUUUGAGUAUUUGGCCCAACAUCAUAUGCUUCAUAUAAAUCAUUGGCAGCAACAGCUGUUUCUGGUUUCUUCAGAUAGAUCGAGCCCGAGUCCUCAUCAAUACACUCUAGCAUGGCCCCAGCCCUGGUACCUGAUCCAUAGCCACCGCAUCUCUGGUAGUCCAAAUACGAAAUUCCGUUUUUUACAUGAACUCUUGGAUUUUCUCUGGAGAUGUUACUGAUAAUGCCAUCAUCGUGAUUGGGAGUAUCAUACCAGUCAAAAACACCUUCCUUCUCUACUGGGCAACUGCGGUCAGUCCUAUUUGCCAAGCACUGGGCUACUUUUGAACCUAAAGUGGAAGCUGACUUUGUCCCACUUAUCUGGUCAAUGGUUAUUGCCUGAGAAGUUUCUAUAUCAUCAUCUACUAGCAGCCUAUCCACAAUAUCAAUAGCAUUGGCCUGUGAUGCAUCACCUGGCUCCUGCGAAUUAAGGUACUCUAACCUUGCACGCUCUCUUGCAGCAGUCAUUAUGCUCAUACUGUAAUGGCUGAUAUAGAUAAGCAAGCGCCAAUUGAACCUAUAACUUGAAACUUGCAGGCCCUGUUACCAACACUAUAUAAAUCAUUACCAAAGAGUUGUAUUGUUAAAACAGCAAGAGAAUGCAACCGGGUGUUGAAAUUUUCUCAGAUUAAAAUGAUCAGAAUUUUGAAGAUACCAAUACUACAGCAAAAGACGUGGUUGUUUUUUGCUGUUGUACCAAUACUACAGCAAAACUGAAUGAGUGGUAAAAACAUAGUUAGGAUGCGAAAAUAUCCAAUAAAUAUAGAUACACACAAGUGCACACGGAGAGUGUAAGGUCACAACGAAUAGUGCAGAGUUGUCUAGGGAUAUGGAGAAUGAAAAUAAUGCAGGGAAUUGCCACAGAAUUCCUGCAAAAUCUAUAUUACUUUCCACUAUUGAGGGUUAAAAAUGUUGGGUUCAGAUCACAUAGUGCUCACACGUGAGAAAACACAAAGCAUAUUUUACACUUAAAUGGCGGGUUUCAGAUAUAUUUGGCUACCAUUAAAUUUAAUUUCAAAUAUGCACCAUGUGAUAAAAAGCUUAUCUAGAUUGAAAUGGAAACCAGUUGCAUGCGUACCAGUAUCAUUUCCUCUAAAUUACAGGAGCCACUUAUUCUCUACUAGGUAGAUUAGAAGUCACAAGCAUAACAGCUAGCAAAUAAGACUAGCAUCUACUAGCCUUAAACCUCAACUAGACGGUAAUUAAUAAAAAAAAAGCAUCACACCUUUUUAGCAACCUGAAAAUCAGUGAAAUGAGAUUUCUCAACAACAGCCUACAAGUGCAUGCAUGACACGCAGCUCAACCUUACUUACACACCAUAGCAGAUUUCACCAUGAGCAUGAAUCCAUAACCAACACAAUAUGUUGCCUAAUUAACCGUUUCUGCGUAUUUUCACCAGGGUUUCUCGGCAAUACAAUCUGUAUUCAGCGACGGCCAACCGAACAGGGGAUGCCCUGGCCGCAGCAGGGGGGCUACCUCACACAUCAGUAACCCAAUGGCCGAACAAGCGGACGGGGUUGAGACGAAACGGGGUACGUGGAACGGGAACGGCGGCGAUCGCGCGCGCGAGUGUGCAGGGAUGGGGGGUUGGGCGCCCGCGGAGGAGGGGCAGGGCACACCAGCAGCUCCGCAUUCGGUCGGAUUCGGUUAGAUCAGGAUUCAGUUGAGGGGGGAGGGAGGAAGAGAGGGUACGUACCGGGGUUGGACGGGACGGCAGCCGGAUUUUGAAAGCAGAGAUACAGUACUCCACCCACCUCGUGGCGCUAAUCCGCCAUGAAUCGGAGCCGGCGGUGGAGCAUCCGAUGCGGCUUGCGGGAUGCCGGCGAGCGUUUAGGGCUUUGGGGCGCGGUAGGGAUGGGAUGGAUGGGGAAACGGGAGAGGGAGAGAGAGAAGGCGGGAGUGAGAGGGAAGAGGGAAGGGAAGCGCGGGGAAGUGUGCAGGAGAAGCCAAGCGCUGUGCCGCUCUUCACUUCUUCAGUCUCUCUCUGUAUUUUUUAAUUCUUUGGAGGGAAAACGGAUUUGCUGAAAUCUUUUGGAGCGAAAAUAAUCACUGCUCUUUUGAAAUAAUUAUUUUUCAGAACAUAUGUGUACAUAUUUUUAUUAGCCCUUCAAAAAUUAUCCUGGUGAGGUCAAAAGAUAGUGAUCUUCGAAAGUACCGUAGUCCGUACGUGAAUUUUGAACAACCAAGCUCCUGUGCUCCUUUUGUUUUCGCGAGAGUACAUGGGAGAUGCACGCAACUCAUGGCCUGUUUCGUAAGCUGUCCUCCCCCAGCUUCUUGGAGAAGUCGCCACUUAUUUGAUUAGGUUACCAAACUAGUUUAUCUAAACUAUUUUAGAAAUCUAGCUAAACUUGUGAUAGGUGAGAGCAGUUUUCUAGAGAAACCGAAAAGAAUGCAUCCUCAAUCUCUCUCUCUCAAACAUCUCGCACGUACGUGUUAAUAUUACAAGUGCAUAAGCAGAUUUUGAGUGUUAAAAGACAAGCUGUUAACCUUACACACAAAAGUUAACCUAUGCUCAAACACGGUUCAAAAGGCAUGCGGAACAUGGGCCGCAGAUGAAUGAACAGAUGUGCUAUUGCAACACUUGCCCGUAGAAUUGCAAGGUAACUCUCCCCAUAAUCCAUUCACUCACACCAGCCAAAAGAUAAAACAACACAUCUAGCUUUUGCAACCUUACAGAGUUGACGGCAUCUAACUGUCCUAACAGGCUUUACAUGCUCUCAGUAACAGGUAGAGUACCAUCGUUGCAGAGUAAUAACACAGGUGAACACCAAAGAAAUAGGACCAAACAAAUGCCAGAAACAAGAACACUUCCUAUCUCUUAUGGCAACCCUCCUCUCAGACUCUCUAGGUUGCAACAAACAUCAUCUGUUAAACAGUGCCGCGGCCCACCUACGGGCGACAAUCGAUGUGACGCUCAAAUUCAGAUGGAGGUUAAGAAAGUGGUACUAAAUGCUAAUCUUUGCGUCUUGCCACAAACAGUUUUCCCAUAUCUUCAGUGACAACGUUACUCCUGUGAAACCAAAAAAAGGGAAAACAAUAUUCAGGGACAACAAAUACAUAAUGUGGAAGAACUUUUCUCAGCAUAAUAGAUGAAAACACUUUCCUAUUUGCCUUACUCCACUCGAACAAUUUGAUUGAAAAAACAACUUUCGAGAAGCAACUAAACAAGUUAUAUACAUGCCACAACAUCUUUUGAAGUAUCUGGAAAUUAUGACUAACCUUCCGCUAAGCUGUGGUGGAACUAAUGUUCUUGCAGCAUUCCUGGCACCAUGAGAUUGUGAUGACUGAGCCCUUGGAAAUUUACUCCGUGGAUCUUGAAUAGCAGAUCCAUUUGAUUCUCUUUUCCUUGAAGAGCUGCCCACCAUAACAGCAGAACCUCUAGAGGGAAGAGAAGGGGAGCCAAAAAGAUCAGCAACAUCUGGUAGGUCAAAUGAUGGUGUGGGCAGGGAGGUGUUGCUUGAAUUAGUUGAUGCUACAUUCCUGGACAAACAACAGAAAAUCAAGUUAAGAACUCUGUGAUACCAUGCCAGAACGUUUAGAGGGAAGAGAAAGUAAGGAACAUGAAAUUAGACCAGGCAGCAAAUGAAAUGUACAUGUGAGACAAUCCACAAAUAUGACAUGUGAGUAUCAAGUAUGUGACCCGAUCAACUCAACAUGGACAUGGUACAAAUUACCUGAAAAAAUAUCAGCUGCACCACAUGAAAUGGCUAGGAAGUAGCUGACUGACUUUUAUGAAUUAAGUACAAGCACGCAAGUAGAGCUGGUAUUGGACUUCGACAAUCCAUUGGAUUAUGGACUUAUUCUUUCUUGGACUUCGUUGGAUUGGAUUUAACUGGAUGGUGUCAUGGUGGACAUAAACUGGAUCACACCCAACAUAACAUUGGACAGAUGGACUGUACCCAAGGAAGGUGUAUAUACUACAGAACCAGAAUAUCCUUUCCCAGGUCCCAGCAGCCACAUGCGAACCUUCCUGUUGCCCCUCUCGACACGCUGCUACUGCUGGCCAGCAGCGACGGUAUGGCAUCAUCCGCCAUCACCUACCCUAUGGCUUUACCUUCUCCCAUCUCUUUUUUCUCCAGAUCCGGGCGAUGGCAUGGAGGCUAGAAGAGAAUGCCAAUCACGGCAGAGCUGCUCGAAGCUUUCAUCGCGUUAUUCCUGCCGGUGUACAUGGUGCUCGCCUGUGGCAAGAGGCUUGAGUUGGAUAUUUGGACAGGCCUUGGACUCCAAGUACAAUGGAUUGGACUGGAUUGGAUACUUAAGAGAUAGGUUUGAUUUUAUAAUGGGCGUGGACUUCUUUUGGUUGGAUAUGAAUUGGACUUCUGUUAAAUUGGAUUUGGACAUCUACCCAUUGCCACCUCUAUGUGCAAGUGGCAUGGCAUAGAUCACAAGAAUAGAAAGUUACAAAUAAACAGCCUACCUAAUUGAAACCUGCAAAUAAUUAACAAACUCACAGACAUUCUGAAAGAAAGAAAAACUGUACAUUAACAGAAAAUGUCCCUGUGCAUGAUCUUUCACAGGGGACAAUUUUGAAGAACCAACUGCAGUUUGUCAAACCAUGACUCGUGUUAACAAAAGUUCAGGCACUACCACAACAGAGGAGCCCAAAAGGCAUUUGUUCAAAUGAAUCAUUGCUUGACAAAUUCAAGCAAUUUUAGUUGUAAGUAGAGCCGGUCAACUGUGAGGGAAGCACACGUCAAACAAAUUGAUGAGUUGUGCUACUCAUGAUUGCUUUCUAAAAGUACCAACAUCACCAUUUUUGGCACCAUAUAUCACUCUAUCAGCAUUGGGAUUUGCAACUUGCUAUAAAGGCAAACGCUAAAUUAGAAGAACACAGAGCUCUCCUCUGGGUUCUGAGGCUUACAUGAUCCCCACCAAUAGAACAAGUGAACCCAGCCUGAGCGAACCAGUUCUCAUUUCGAACGUGACAUUCAUAUCGUUGCACAUAGUACAAACUAAUUACAGCCAUCGACUUGUGUUGUUGCAUGAUUUUCUACUAUGGUACAGUGUUUCGAUUCCCAGUAGCUUAAGCUCUAGCAUAUCCGCAUAGUUCUACCCCAGCGGUGAAAUCAACAGCACCAAUAUGCCUAAAUCUAGUAGACGCAGACAAGAGCUCCCGUAAGUGAAAGCCCAGAUCAAGAGUCUCCCCACCAAUUUCCCUUUCCGGCGGACGAAACCCUAGGAAGACAGACAGCACGGGGGCUUACCGGUUGGAUGCAGGCGGCGGCGGCGGCGGCGCAGGAGGCUGAGGAGCGGCGCGCACGGACGGAGAAGGUGACGGAGGCCUCGGAUGCGGCCCUAGGGUGGCCGAGAGGUGGGGAGGAGGGGCUGGACCGGCGGCGGCGGCGGCGGGGGGCUCGCCGGCGUCUUCCUCGUCUGAGGAGGCGUCGUAGGCGACAAGCGACAUCGGGUUUGGGUAAUGGAUCCGUGGGUUUGGUUCCUCUUUUGGACCGUCUGCGUCUGAUGCUGUCUGGUUUACAUGUGGGCCUACUGGUCUCUGGAAACGGGCCCGGAUGUAUUCGUUCGGCCCGAGUGUUUGCUUCUUUCUUCGAUUUCGAGCCUGACCAGAUUUUUUUUUUUUUAUGAAACAGACCAGAUCUUCUUGUCUUGUUAAAAAAAAAUCAAGGAACUAAAUAUGAACUGUAUUUGUUUCCUUUUUUUGCUGGAGUAUCUGUUUCCAGUUCUGUGAUUUGCUUUCAUCUAAAAAAGAAUCUGGAAUUGUUUUCUCAGACAACUCAUUAUUCAACGCAGACAAGAUGCUAGGUCCAACUGAUACGUAUUACACACCUCAAGCAUCCGUUAAGGCAUAUAAACUACCGAAAGAUACAAAUAUUCUAUCGAGAAAUGCUUCUUGGCAAGCAGGGAAUCAUGCUAAUCGUCCUUGGGGUCAAAACAAACGGCCGUUCUUUCCCGCGUGAGAUGCACGCGUAAACAAAGAACAUGUACAUUGAAAGGGAGAUUCGGCAGCAUCGAGUUCGAGCGCAUAUGAAGCUACAAGAAUAAAAUACUCCACACCCUCCGAUCAAUAAAAAAUGUCGCCUACUUGGUACAAAAUUUGUACUAACUUAGUACAAAAUGGGUGAUAUUUUUUAUGUAUUUGAGGGAAUGCAUAAUUUUUUAGAACAUUGAGCGUUUUUUAAUGGAAAAUGAUGAAAGAGCCCAUUGCUUCGAAAAACAUAAAAUUAGAGUACUACUACUCAUUUCUCCUUAUUUUUCAAGCCAUAUUAGCUUUAACACAGGUAUGAAUCAAGAUUCUUUACAAGAAGGGCACACCCAUAUAUUAAACCAACACUAACCAUUUAAAAAGAAAAGGAAGACCACACACAAAUCUUUGGGGGAAACAAUGUUUGUCAUCCUCUUCCUCUGCACUAACCGGUGACGCGUCGUGAGAGAAGUUUGAUGUUUUCUUUGGAGAGACAGAAAAAUGUUGUUGAUGCAACAAUCAAAAAAUCGUAGGGUAGGACAAAAAACGCCAGUGAUAGUGAUAUGAGAGAUAGAUUGCCAUCUUGAAGAAGGAGACGAGGAAGAGGGCUGGAUGGCCAGCUCAUAUCCGGCCAGACAGGUCUAAAGAGACCUAACUAAGGACAGAGCCGAAGCAUGGGGGCACUGGUGCCACUUGAGCUAAAUACACAUACAGAUUUUUAAAAAUUUGUAAUGUCCAAAGCUUCAACCUUUUGAGAACCAACAAGAGCAUGAUACCGGAACAUAAAUUUUAAAUGUCUCGUCGCGAAUUGUAAAGGAAAAUCCCAUGUUCUUCCGAUAGAGUACUCCCUCCGUCCUAUAGUAAGUGCUGAAAUAUUACAUGUAUAUAGUCGUUUUUUAGUUAUAAAAACAUGCAUAUUUGAAAAAAUUGUCAAUUUUUUCUGUCGUCCUUGACCGAAUUUUUUUAGUUGCUCAAACGUGCAAAUCAAGAAACCGCGGAGAGACCAAACUCUUCCAAGAUUUAACGUCUUCACGAUCCAACCUAUACAGCCACCCUCGAUUAUCUACCGUCCGAUCCAGAAUCUUGCAGCCCUCUCAGCGGUCGGAUCCUCGGGCUGUUCCAGGAUUUCUCGAAGCCGCGGCCGCAUAGUCCGGGGAGGCUUCGGAGCCGUCGGGGGUUCUCCUCCCCUGAGUCCACACGGUUCCAUAUAAAGCACCCCGGUUUUGCUCCUGCCCCCUCUCUCAGGAUUCGAAACCAGCCGAGAUUUCUCUCGCCGCGUAAGCCAAACCCUAGGCGUCCCACCCUCGACCUCCUUCCCUCCAGCCGCCGGCGCGGGCUCUCGCGAAGGAAGGUAAUCGCCCUCCGCAAUUCUCCCCCUUUCCUCUUUAUUCAUAGUUCGAUUAUGAUGUGCUGAUCCGAUCGGGGCUAGCGCCCGCGUCUCGCGUCGUCGAUCGGGUCUGUCGUGGUGUUUGAUCUGAUCGGGGUUUCGCGGAGAGGGUACCGGUUUCCUCCGGGGCGGAUCCGCCGCCGGCGCAGGGGAUCGCGUGUAGCCGCGCUGUUCGGCGAGCCCCUGGAAUAGUUUACCUUACUUUUUCUGGGUUUUGGGAAUUUCGUGUAGAUGUGUUUUGCUUCGAUCGAUGUCGAUUUUGCGGGAAGGAUUAGAUCAGUUAGCAUUGUUCCUCUGUAAAUUGUCGAUGUGGUAUUGUGGAUGAUUACAAAUUUGUUUAGAUGAUGCCUGUCUCAUGUUUGGGUUUUGGGAGUAAUGUUUUCCAUCCUGUAUCACCCCUUCGUUGCGUACGUAUAGCAGUUUAGUGUGCAUAGGUGUCAAAUUUAUUUGUAAAUUUGGGCGCGGAAGUUCGGUGAGGAGUAUUGAGGUGUCCGAUUUGCAUCAGGCUUCAGCGCACUACUGCUUGCAUCCGAUGGGGAUUGUUUUUUGUCCCGUAGUCCAGAAUCAUUUACUCGUGGUGUCGUUAUGUGUACAUAUGGUAUGGUAGUUACUAAUAGCUAUUAGGCGUGGGUCGCAAGGAUCGCACGAUCUUUAUAUGUGCAUCUCUUGUAGUGCAUUUGAAGGAUGCCUCCUAAUGAUAUAAGGAUUGUCAACUCUGCUGCACUUUCUUAAACGCAGUUCUACAGUUUUUUAGUUUGUGGUUGGUAGCUGUAAAAUAUGUUGGGUCUGUUUUCUCUUUUAAUUUGUUCUAUCUUCAACUGUUUUAUGGACCAAUAUUCUUAGCCUCUGCUUUUAUAUGGUAUGGCAAUUGAUCUUAUAGAAGUCUGUUUGCGCUGCGUCUUAUUUGUUGAAGAUGAUUCUGUAUCCCAUACCUUUAUAACACUUGCAUGUCUUUGUUUGAAAGGUUCUUAGUAUUCUGUCAUGUUUUCUUUGAUUAAUAGUGGUCCUUUGAGAUAACUUAUUUGCUGUAAGCUUUAUAUUUCUUACCUGAUAUAUCAUUGAAUCUUCUUUGACAUGGUAGCAGUUCCUAUCUGAAAUUUAUACCCAUUAACUUAUUUGGCAUCUACUUUUUACUUUCAUGACUGCAUGUUUAUAUUCCUUCUUUUAUGGACGAAGUUGCAUCUCCAUUUAUAUGAUGUUAUAAUUUGUUCUCGUUUCUGCUCCUGGAUAAUAUGUUACCCAGCUUUCUAGGCAACUCCAGUUAACUUAUACAUAUACUGGAUUUUAAUCUUGCAGGUGAAGGUAGAGGUGGGAACACAACCAAGAUGGCAGACGGUCAUGAAACUGACAAGAACAUUGAGAUCUGGAAGGUCAAGAAGCUGAUUAAAGCACUUGAUGCUGCCCGUGGAAAUGGGACAAGCAUGAUUUCAUUGAUCAUGCCUCCUCGUGAUCAGGUGUCUCGAGUCACCAAGAUGUUGGGUGAUGAAUAUGGAACUGCUUCUAACAUCAAGAGCAGGGUCAAUAGGCAAUCUGUCCUGGCUGCUAUUACCUCUGCCCAACAGAGGCUGAAGCUGUACAAUCGAGUACCACCCAAUGGAUUGGUACUUUACACAGGAACCAUUGUCACUGAUGAGGGCAAAGAAAAGAAAGUCACCUUUGACUUUGAGCCAUUCCGACCAAUUAAUGCUUCCCUGUAUCUCUGUGACAACAAGUUCCACACUGAAGCACUGAAUGAGCUGCUUGAAUCUGAUGAUAAGUUUGGCUUCAUCGUCAUGGAUGGUAACGGGACACUUUUUGGAACGCUGAGUGGCAACACAAGAGAGGUUCUUCACAAGUUCUCUGUUGAUCUCCCAAAGAAGCACGGGCGAGGAGGGCAGUCAGCACUUCGCUUUGCCCGCCUGCGCAUGGAGAAACGUCAUAACUAUGUGCGCAAAACAGCUGAGCUAGCAACACAGUUCUUCAUCAAUCCUGCCACUAGCCAGCCAAAUGUUUCUGGACUCAUUCUUGCUGGUUCUGCUGACUUCAAGACUGAGUUGGGUCAAUCUGACAUGUUUGAUCAGCGUUUGGCAGCUAAGAUACUCAAGGUGGUUGAUGUCUCUUAUGGUGGAGAAAAUGGUUUCAACCAGGCAAUUGAGAUAUCUGCUGAAGUCCUUUCAAAUGUCAAGUUCAUCCAAGAAAAGAAGUUGAUUGGGAAAUACUUUGAGGAGAUAAGCCAAGACACUGGGAAGUAUGUUUUUGGUGUGGAUGACACCAUGGCAGCACUUGAAAUGGGUGCAGUUGAGACACUGAUUGUGUGGGAAAAUCUUGAUAUCAAUCGGUAUAUUUUGAAGAAUUCUGCAACCGGAGAAACUAUGGUAAAGCACUUCAACAAGGCACAGGAGGCAGAUCAGAGUAACUUCAAGGAUAAGGCGACAUCUGCAGAGUUGGAAGUAGUGGAGAAGGCCUUGUUACUGGAGUGGUUUGCUGAAAAUUAUUGGCAAUUUGGUUGCAUGCUGGAAUUUAUCACAAACAAGUCACAGGAAGGAUCUCAGUUCUGCAGGGGCUUUGGUGGCAUAGGAGGGAUCCUUCGCUACCAGGUUGAGGUGAAUGCGUACGAAGACCUGUCUGAUGAGGAGAAUGACGACGACUUUGAAUAGCAAUCAAUUGAAACUCCAGUGAAUCCGGUCCAGGAGGAGCCUGUGCUGGCCCGGAACCGGGACGCUCCGCGACAGGAGGCCGAGACAUCCGCAAGCUCGUCGAGGAAAACUAAAGGUUUGUGCUGAAUCCACGCAAGCUUCUCUUGACCUCUCUUAUAAAAGAAUUCCUUGUAUCUUCCCUUUCUGACAUUUGAAUUCGAUUUUCUGCCUUCAGGUGCAUGACUAGAAGACUCAAGAAACGGUGAUCACCAUGAUGAUGAUGUGAUGGAAGCAUGGAUAAGGGAAGUCUUCUCAGCGUAAGGAGGAGGAAGUUUGCAUCUGGUCUAUCAGAAGUCAGAAGACUAUCGUAUUUAUUUAGUACCGUCGCUAUUGAUAACAAUAGCUGUAAGCUAUUAAGCGUCUCUUGAGUGAGUCUUGAACUAGUCCGUUUUGAGUCUGUAAGUUAGUGUCGCUGCAGCUGCAGCUCUACUUUAUAUUUCUGAACCUAAGUUGUGAUCAUGCUACGGCUACAUUUGGGUGUGACGCAACUCUGUCAGUGCGGUCACUAUACUUGGACCUACUUGGACCAAAUCUAUUGUGUUUUCUCUACAUGUGUCGUUGAUCAUAUUCGUGCCCAUCUGGCCUUUUAUUUGCUUUUACCAUUGUGCUUUUGUAUAUGCGAGUAUAUUCAGCCAUGAGCAGAGCAUGCUGGUGCAGUUCGGUCCCUCAUGUCCGGCCGGUGCUUGCAGCUUAGAGUGUUGUAUUUUUGUUGUCGAGGCUCUGUAAACAAGUGUGCCGAUGCCAAUUCGAUCUCACGUUUGAUUUGGAUGCUUUACCACGGCUUCAAUCAACAUUAAAAGUAUUAGGAAUAUAACCCCGUCAACUGUUAACCCGAGGGCGGUUUAAGUUUAGUCUGUCGCGUCCAGUCGAUCGUCGUCUCCCCGGAAAAGGCAAUAGAGAAAGCACGAGCAGCUCGGGAAGGAGCGAGCGGGCGGCAACACCUUCCUCUUCCUCCCCCACUCAUUUAAUGGCGGCCACAGCUUGGUUGGCGCCAUCGUCUACCUCCAUCAAUGCCUCCAUCCACCUCCCCCAUCUCGUACAGUCCUACUUAACACAAGCCCCCGCGGUCGGGGCCGUUGCAUCCAUGACCCAUCCACCCACCGCCACCUCCACCUCAUCACUUAUCCACCCCCGGCCUCACCGCCAGGCCAGCUCCGCCUCCGCGGCUCUCGAGCUGGACGGUGGGUGGACACGUUUAAGGCCGCGGCUUUGCCGUUGCUCUGCUUUUGCUUUACCCGCUUCGAUCGAUCUGCUUUACUCUUAUCCUUGCUCCUCUGAGCGCGGGGUUCUCGGUGUUGCGUUUGAUUUCGCGUUCCACGGUUCUGUGGUUGUAGGUGGUGGUGGAUGACCAGCUCUCGGAAUUCCUCCGGCGGGAUUGGGGUCUUGUUAGGUUCGUGUUUGGUGAGCGAUUUUCGCGCGUUGUUGGGUGACGCGAGCGUCGGGCCUUAAGGUGUUCGACUAAUUGCCGAGGAGAGCAGAGCACACACAAACAUUUUUCAGCAUUUUUUUGGUUCGCCGCUGGAUUUAUUUCCCUAUUGCCUAUUGGUUUGCGUGAGGGGGAGAUGGUGGGGAGCGUGCACGUCAAUGGAUCGCUGAACGGCGCCAAUGGCACCGAGGAGCGGCUGGACGAGCUGCGGCGGCUGCUCGGCAAGUCCGAGGGCGACUUGCUGAAGAUCGUCAGCGUUGGCGCCGGCGCCUGGGGCAGCGUCUUUGCUGCUCUUCUGCAGGACGCCUAUGGCCAUUUCAGGGAGAAGGUGCAGAUACGGGUCUGGCGCCGGCCGGGGCGGGCGGUCGACCGGUCCACCGCGGAGCAUCUCUUCGAGGUGAUCAACUCGAGGGAGGACGUGCUGAGGCGCCUGAUCCGCCGGUGCGCCUACUUGAAGUACGUCGAGGCGCGGCUUGGGGACCGGACCUUGUACGCCGAUGAGAUUUUGAGGGAUGGGCUGUGUUUGAACAUGGUCGACACGCCACUGUGCCCGUUGAAGGUGGUCACUAACCUGCAGGAAGCUGUCUGGGAUGCUGACAUUGUGGUGAAUGGGCUGCCUUCCACCGAGACACGGGAGGUGUUCGAGGAGAUCAGCAAGUAUUGGAAGGAGCGGAUCGCUGUCCCGGUGAUCAUUUCCCUUGCAAAGGGGAUAGAAGCCUCCUUGGGCCCAAUUCCUCGUAUCGUCACGCCUACACAGAUGAUCAGUUCGGCAAGUAAGCAUCUCUUCUUGUACUGUGCUUUUGCUCACAUAUAUUCUCACUAUAUUGAAUAAUGUAAUGUAAUCAUUUGGUAUCCUCGAGGGAGAUGAAAUGGAAUUGGUUAGAGAAUGAUGUGAAGCCUAGGACACGAUUGGCUGUUUGGUCAAUCAAGUGUUGGCAUUGGUUAUUUUCUUGUGCAAUGAUUGCAUAACAUACUGUUUGCUGAGAGAGGAAAAAAAUAGAUCUCAAUGAAAGCUUUCUAAAAAGUAAUUCCGGUAGAAAGAAAAGUGACUUUAAGGCUUGAUAUUGUAUUGUGCAAUGUCUGACAUUUUUGUCUGCAGUUCAUGGCAAUAAUUUCACUACAUGACAUUCCGUGUUGCAUUAUGGUCUGAUUAGUGUCGGUUUACAGUUAGGGAGCAAAUACAUAUUUAAUACUUCUCUGUUGCCAUGGCCCUGCACAACUAAGGCAGUUAGCACUGCACAGCGACUCUGGAUAUGUGCCAACCUUCAUUUUACUCAAUCACAUCGGGUGCCAAGUUACAUUUGAAGUUUUGCUUGUGGUGAAAACUGAAUUAUGGCAUGCCUGUAAAUUUAAUGAAUGACUGCGACAUUUGUUUUGCAAUCACCCUUCAUGGUGCACUUAGGCAACCAAUUCCAGUUUGGGCAAAAAAGGUAAAUCAACAUAACAAAAAUCAUUAGUUAGUAUUUUAAUACCCUUUGAAAUUUCACUAUAAGAAAAAGAAAAGUUUUAGGUGGGCAUUAGUAUUUAUUUUCUCCUAUUUUUUUUAUUUUCCUUCUAAUUUAUCAUUUGUCAGCCUUUAUCCUUUUUACUCUUCACAUGGGAUGAAUUUGAAAUUCAAAUUGGUUUCACAAAAAGUAGGGUAAAUUGAGAAGAACUUCUAGGAUUUUGGAGACUUUCAUGUUAAUUUGGUAACUAAACCAACAUUGAUAGCAUGAGUACACCAAGGGUGAUUUCAUAGCAUAUACUGUAUAUGUUACAACAACAACAUGCGCGUAUCUUUUGAUUUUGUGCAAAUAUGUUUGAUCUUGACCUGAGUCAUAUAAUUAAUUUAUGGCCGUUAGCAUAGUGACCUCUUGGGCAAACACCACCGACUGUUUAUUUCACUCAAUCACAUCAUGUAGCCUGUUCCAUUUUAGAGCUACAUGAAAACACAAUGUGCCAUGUCAAUGACAUGGUGCACAUCUUCUAACUUGCCUGACAGAUGUUUUGGUGCUGACAUCUACCCAUCUUGCUCAUGUAACUAAAUUUUGUUGUCUUGUCCGAGUUCACUCUUUGACUUAUUUAUCCAAAUUGCACCAGAUCUAAUUGUUUAGAAAUGAAUUGCAGCUGGAGUUCCAACUGAGAAUAUACUCUAUCUUGGAGGCCCAAACAUUGCCUCGGAAAUUUAUAACAAAGAAUAUGCAAAUGCUCGAAUCUGUGGAUCCAACAAGUGGAGGAAACCGCUUGCUAAGUUUUUGAGGCAACCGCAUUUCAUUGUGUGGGAUAACAGUGACCUUAUCACUCAUGAGGUGAUGGGUGGCCUGAAGAACGUAUACGCUAUUGGCGCCGGUAAGUGUCUCCAUUUUUUUCUUCCAAAUAUUAGAUAUUAACUAGCUUCAUAACACUAAAUUUAGUUCACUGAAACGAGGACGAUUUCCUAUUGUAUCUGUUGUUUUGGCUUUUAUGGUCGUAGUGACUUUCAACUAUCCAAGCAAGCAUGGAUAACUUGAUCUGUUUAAUGCUCAACAUGAUCUCUUGCCUCAUUAGCGUAUGGGCCAGCCACAUUGAAAUCUGAGGGUGCAACCUAGUUUUCUCAAAUCUAUUUACUUACUCUCUUUUUUGCAGGGCAAAUCUUUUUACUUACCCUUUGAUUUUAUACACAAAACCAUAAAGACUAUUUAAACUGAGAAGCUUCAUGACAAUUUAAACACUUGUUUCCCUAUUUUGCCAGGAUACUCAUUUGGUGUUUAUUUAUUUGUGUUCUGUGUAAAUAUACAGAACCUUUUGUUCUGUGUAAAUUUGCGACAGAAGAAACCUUUCGUUCUUGCCUACGGGAUCGCCUGGUUAAUUUCUUCUGUAACUAUGUUAUCUUUCCAUCUUAACCAUAACCUUUUGUUCUCUGUUUCAGGAAUGGUGGCAGCUUUAACAAACGAAAGUGCAACAAGCAAAUCUGUGUAUUUUGCUCACUGCACAUCAGAGAUGAUAUUCAUCACUCAUCUACUGACAGAACAGCCAGAGAAACUUGCUGGCCCUCUGCUGGCUGAUACUUACGUAACCCUCCUAAAAGGUCGCAAUGCAUGGUACGGGCAAAUGCUAGCGAAGGGGGAACUCAGUCCCGAUAUGGGUGACAGUAUCAAGGGAAAGGGGAUGAUUCAGGUUAUCUCAUAGCAAUGCUCUUUUCUUGUCUUCCAGAAGUUCGUGUGAUUGCUGAGCAUGUUUUGAAUAAUAACGAAAUGUGAAAUCGAAAAAAGAUACAUUGCCAAAAAAGGCAGAAAAAGAAAUCGAGAAAAGAUACAAAACCUUUUGGAUAGUCUUGUAAUAAUAUAUAGUUGCAUUUAGCAUUUUUGGUUCACUUUUAUGUUUUGUCUGUAUUACAUUGACUGAGUAUAGGCUCUUUGCAUUUCAUUGGACAGGGUAUUUCUGCUGUUGGCGCAUUUUUUGAGCUGCUCAGUCAACCCAGCUUAAGUGUACAACACCCAGAGGAAAACAAGCAAGUUGCUCCUGCUGAACUGUGCCCAAUUCUGAAGAGGCUUUAUAGAAUCCUAAUAAAACGGUUUGUGCUCUGCAUUAAAAUUAUGGAUAUGGAAAUCUGCAUACUUUGACUAUGUACAGAGUGCAACGUAGUUCAACCGAAAAUUCAGCCUCUUCUCUCCUCACCAGUCCACUGCUGCUUCUUGCCAGCCUAACCAGACAUCAGCAGAACUGCUAACAAGAGAUUGGUAUACAUGAAUUUAAUGUAGCUCCAGCAGUCUACGAGCAUAGAGCUGACAUGCAUUCUCGCAGGAGGGCAUGUCGUUUCCUUUGCGUACGCAGUGCCAGAGAAAUCCUGUUUUGUUAGUACAUUCUAUUUACAUUUUCCAUGAACAAAUUGGUUAUGCCCUUUGAUCAUAAUAAAUUGGUAUACAUUUUUGUCUUAUGCAACUCUUCUCUCUGAAAUCCGCAGGGAGCUCCCGGUAAGAGACAUUCUCCAAGCCCUGAGAGACGAAACGAUGAACGACCCUCGUGAAAGGAUCGAGAUGGCACAAAGUCAUGCGUUCUACCGGCCGUCUCUGCUUGGAAAGCCAUGACCUUUGUUAGUCCUGUACAUGAUUAGAAUGUAAACAAAAGUUGGGUUGGCUCCAACUCGUGACAACCAUUUCCAAUUGAGCAAGGCAUCUCUGGGUUUCUUCUACUGGCUUUUGUGCUUGGAUCCCAGGAGCCUUCCUUAGAGUGGAGGGUUUGUUUGUGCGUAGUACUUCUUAGUAGAUUAUCAUGUUGUACAAUAGAGUACCAUGUCAAUAAAAUAUUUCCUGGACAACCUGGACAAUAAACACGAGACAAGACGGUUACCUCCAGUAGGAUGUUACUGGCACCUUGCCGUUUCUGUUUUGCAGAACUGUGUCAUACUAUUUAAACUCUCGCUGCUAAAUUAUUUGUUAGCGUUGGAACGAGUUGCAGAUGGGCAGUGAGAUUCAGUUACUCGUGUUCCUCUGUUUGUUAGCAGUGGAACGAGAUGCAGUUAUUCGUCUGGUUCUGGUUCUAACAAGAAAAUUAAGAAACAAAAUCUCUCUGAGCAACCAGGCAAGCACGUUCCGUUUGAUCUUGAGCUGUGCGGUUACUGGAUUCAAGGAAAAGGGGUUAGACAGUCGACAGACACGUGUCGUAUAUACUUAUACUGAUAAAAAUAUUCAAUAAACACUUCUGUUGGGACCAAGACAUGAUGCACGAUUACGAGUCGUCCAUUCCACAGUCCACACUCCAAAGCGAGAACGUGGGUUGCCAUCGUGCACCCAGCCCGCACGAGUCCGAUCACCGGUUGCAAGUGUCAGACCAGGAUUUAUUCCCUCUGUUGUAUCGUGGCGUAUCCGUUGCCGACAUAGUCCGGUGACUUUGAGAAAUAUGAGAAUCCAGCAUGCGUGAUUAGUUGCAGGUAUGUCUUUCGCACUAUGUGUAGGGUUUGUGAGUGUGGUGUGCGUGUGUCAGUGUUAGUGCGUGAGUUCACAGAUAGCUGUAGUGUAGCCGAGAGGCCUAAAAAAAAAAGAGUAAUCAAGAUGCGUUUAUUCAGAUUAAUAAGAGGAGCAAAAAUGAACCGUGGGUAUUUCCACACGUGCAUGCAUGCAUGGAUCAAACUAGCUAACAGUACAACUUCAAAUGCUCCAUCUGAGUCCUGGCAAGGCAUGUCUGCGUUAAUAUCGUAACUAACACUCAUAUGUGCGAAUAACACCUCCUAAUUAACGCUGUAAAAAAAAACACCUCCUAACUAACACUUGAGAUACUGGCAACCAUGCAUACAUCUAUCCCAACAAUCAAAGAACAUUACUACCAAAUGCAUGCUAUGGAUCAUUGCUUCUUGUCGUCGACGGGGGGCUCCUGUUGCUGCGCUUGCGCCUUGCCGAUAUCCACCCCGAAAAGCCUCACGACGCGCUCGACUACUGGCGCCGCCGCCGCUUGCUGCUGCGCCGGAUCCUGCUUAUUCUUCUUCUUGGGCACGAUGGGCGUGCCCUUGUAGUGCCUCCGCUUGUGGCCCCCGAGCUGCUGGCCCUGGGCGUACACCAUGCCGCACUGGUCGCACGCGUGCAUCUUGGCCGGCUUCGCCGCAGCGCCCCCGUGGCACGCCAUGGCGCCCUCGCCGGCGCCGGCAGCGAGGGAUUCCUGCCUGAGGCGCUUGUUCCUGUGGCCCGCCGCGUGGCCGCCCAGCCCCUGGUGCGUCGGGUACCACUUGUCGCACCCUUCCUCCUUGCACGGGAAGUACCCCGGCCGCUGCUGGUUGUUAUUGCUGUUGUUGUUCCCUGCAGGUGGGUGUUGCUGUUGCUGUCCGCCGGCCGGGGAGACGACGACGGCUAAUUGCUGUUCUGCUUGUGCAGCGGAGGGCAGCGGCAUGGGCGCCAUGGCUUCUUCUUGCGGUUUGGGUUCAGGCGCAGCUUCGGUGGCCGACGGCGGGGGAGCGGAGGAGUCUUGUUGCUGUUGAGUAUCCAUGGGCGAAUCGCUCUUGCUCAUCUCUUUGAUGGCGACGGCGACGGCCACGACGCUCUGCUGAUUGGGGCUGCAGGUACUGGUGGUGGUGCUCGCGAUCGCGAGCUGUACGGGCUUGGCGCCGUCGUGCUGCACCACGGCGACUGCAACGGCGGGCGCCGGGGCAACGGGGAGGAGCUUGGGCGGCUCCUUCUCCGGGGCCGCGGCGGCGGCGGCGGCAAUGGCCAUGGAGAUGGGGGAGCGAUGGUAGUCCACUUGUUGCGCUUGCGCCUCGCGCGCCUUGCUGCCCUUGCCCUUGGUGGCCUGCGCGUGGACCUUGGUGUGGCCGUUCACGGCCUUGAUGCUGCCGAACUCCUUCCCGCAGGUGGUGCAGAGGAACUUCUUCCCCGGCGACGGGGCCGGUGCCGCCGCAGGCGCGGCGGCGGCGGAGACGGCGGGACCGUUCCCGGCUCCUUCCAUGUCGUCGUCGACGGUCGCGUCCGAGUCGUAGCCGGAGGCCACCGCCGCCGGCGCCGCGUUGAUGAUCGCGGCCGGGCUGCGGCGGGGGGCGUCCAGAGGGUUGGGCCCGAGGUAGUAUCGCACGGCCUCGUCCUCGCUCUCCUCCCCGUCGCUCACCGCGCCGUCCUCGUAGUAGUACGGACCGCGCGGCGGCGCCACCAUCUCGUCCUCCUCCCGGCGCGAGGACGACGCGCGAUCAUCCGCGGAAGAAUCUCCCAUGGAAAGAAGCAACAGAAAGAGAGCGAUCGAUCGAGAUCAGUAGGGAGGGAAGAAGCGAGCUAGGGUUUAGUCUCGCUCGGAUCGCUUUGCUUGUGGGUGGGGAAUAGCCGGCUAGGGUUUGCUACGGUUUGCUUGGCUUUGGCGCUUGUGGGUGGGGGAAGCAAGGCACUGGGCUGCCUUAUAUGGAGACUAGGGAGCGAAGAUUUCGUGCGGCGGGGGAGAGUGCGUGAGGGCCAGGAUCGAUCCCCCGAGAAGCGCGGCGGCAGGUUUAAGAGUGCCACUCGGAGACGGAGGGGCUAGCUGGAGAACAACAGAGAGAUAGAGCUAGCUUUGUUUGUUGUGUUUUCUUUCCUUUCAAAGCCGGCGGGAAGGAGAUCGGAACGGAUACGCGCGAUCGAGUUUGUUACGCUCCUCCGGGGUUUAAACGAUAUUAGCCCGGUAACGGCCCAAUCGGUCCGGCCCGGAUGACACCAUCGGAUUUGGAUUCUGGAUAUUUUUCUUCCAGAACACUCUUCUUCGACUCGUGUCUCUCUGGUCCUCCUCGCCAGUGGCUCCAUCCAGUCAGGCUCUCUGCUCGCUCCACCCACCGUCCCCUCUCCACUCCCUCUGCUCCGGCGAUGGCGGCGGCCGCGCCCCCUCCUCCGGCGGCGGCGCCGGCGCAGCUCAGCAAGAGCAAGAUGUUCGGCGGCCACAUCCUCCGCUUCCGCCACCACAGCGCCGCGCUUGGAUGCCCCAUGACCUUCUCCCUCUUCGUCCCGGCGUCCCCGGCUUCCAACCUCCCCGUAAGUGCCCGCUCGACCUGGCACCAUCCUCCCCGGCCCUCCGGGAUCUGACGGCGUUGUCGUGGCCGUGCGCAGGUGCUGUACUUCCUCUCGGGGCUCACCUGCAACGACGAGAACUUCGUCAUCAAGUCCGGCGCCCAGCGCGCCGCCGCGGCACACGGCAUCGCCCUCGUCGCGCCCGACACCUCCCCGCGUACGUCCAACUCAAACCCUCGCUCUCGACCUGUUCUGCUGUUUCUAGGGUUUAUGCCUGUCCGAUUCUCGGUCACCCUGUGGUCAUUGAGUCCAGUUUUGAGUGGUAUGUACUGGGCAGUUGUGCGGAGUGUGGAUGGAAUGCACGUUACGUUAAAUUUCAACUGAAGUGACAGUUUAUGCUUAUGCAUUUAUGUCUAUGAUGUGUUUGAUGAACAGUGAGACUUCAAGGAGGCAUACAGUCAUGUGUGAUUCUAGAACUGAUGGGAGAUACUUUUAAUUUACACAGUUGGGUGUUACCCUGAUGCACCUGUAAAUAGUUUUGUUCCAUUCUUUCAUGAUGAUUGGUAGAUCUAUAGUAUUUCUAAUAUUUACAUGGGAAACUUGUCCAUUGGCACGAGCUACAACUUAGGAGGCUCAACAAACCUCGCUCAUGAGUAGACUAAUUCUCCACAGCAGUGCUGCUGUGCAAGCUGAAGGAACAAGAAUAACCACUGAAAUGUUAGCAUCUUCCUGGCGUGUAAUCACAUACAUUCUAGCUGUUUGGAUUGGGCUUUUAGGGGCCUGAGGACAAUAUACUGAAUGAGGCCAAGUAUACACAGUCUCUCUCUUGUCCUGGGCAUGUCUAAACUGCAUUUUACAUUCAUGGUUUGGCCUAGUUGAGCAAUAAGAUAUCUCCCAUCUAAAAGAUGGAGUAGGGUCGAGUCUGAAUAACAUUAAGAAGAAUCUUGCUUUAUGAACGACUAGCAUGAUAUUCUGAUAGUCAGCUAAGUGCUUGUUUCCUUUGACUAGCAAAUGAUUGUGGGAUGAUCGAUAUGAUCUCACCUAGUCAGCUCUAUUGCUCCUCUUCACCUUUCUUUUGUUAAGAACACAUUUUACGAUUCCUUGUCCUUGUUUAAACCUGUUCCUAUCUUAUGACUCCUUCCCUUUGUUUCAUGCAGGUGGCUUAAAUAUAGAAGGAGAGGCGGAUAGUUGGGAUUUUGGUGUUGGUAAGGACUGUAACCAAGUCACUCUUGUUGUGCCAUUUGCAGUUUUUAAGAUAUACCAAGCCAUGAACUUCCUUUUGAUUUUACAACUUACUGCCUGACUUCCCAUUGCCAUAAUAUAUUAGAAAGUGCAACUGAUUUAUAUCUGUGGAGUUCUACACAAACGCCUUUUGAAAAAUUGUGUCAUACUUAUAUGACUUAUAUGCAUAUGCCUAGAGGUGCCUAAUACUCUUAUCUUGAAUGUUCAUGAGUAGGUGCUGGAUUUUAUUUGAAUGCCACAAAUGAGAAGUGGAAAAAUUGGCGCAUGUAUGACUAUGUUGUGAAGGAGCUGCCAAAAGUUUUAAGUGACAACUUUGAACAGCUUAACACUUCCAGGGCAUCAAUUUUCGGACAUUCAAUGGGAGGGCAUGGUGCACUGACUAUCUACUUGAAGAACACUGACAAAUACAAGGUACUGUUUGAUGCUACAUGUUAAAACGUCAACAUUUUGAAAUUCCUGUCUAUGGACCUGUUCAAAAAUAGGUAAAUUGUCUAUUUUCUAUAGUAUCUGUACUCUCUUUGUGUUAUCGUUUGCAACUUUGCAUGAAAUCUCACUUGGCAUUGUGAAUUUAUCUUACAUAUCCAGUCGGUUUCUGCGUUUGCUCCAAUUGCUAACCCAAUAAACUGCCCCUGGGGUCAGAAGGCAUUCACAAACUAUUUGGGCACAACUAAAUCAGAAUGGGAGGUAACUCUUCUCUUUGGAGAGCAUCUUCCUCCCUCCCUCCACACUCCUCAACCAUGCAUGUUAAAUACUUAAUAGUGCGUACUUACUGCAGGAUUAUGAUGCGACCUGCUUGAUUAAAAAGUGCAAUGGAGUUUCAACUCCUAUCCUGAUUGACCAGGUAUGAUGCAAGCAGCCUGCCAUGAAAUGGAUAGUAUCUAGUUCCUGCUUCCAUGUUGCUUUUAUCCUAUCGUUAGAACUAUUAGUUGUUUGAGAUGGCAUGUCACUUUUCUAGUGCGGUGACGUAGGUCUAUAGGAGCCCACUGAAUGCAAGUGUUUUUAGGGGCAACCACGCAAAAUAGUUGGAAAGGUCCCUGAAAGCACCAUUGAUCAUGAUACAAGGACCUUAAAUCGGGCAUUGUGACAACAUGGUAGUCUUCCUCCUGGUUAAUAGGCAACUGAUCGGCUAAUUAUUAAAGAGGGGCCUUAAUAGUCUUCCUCCUGGUUAAUAGGCAACUGAUCGGGUAAUUAUUAAAGAGGGCCCUUAAACAAUUUCAAAUAAGGUGGUAUCUGUAAGUGGCACCACAUUUUUGUUAUGUCUAGUGCAUGACGGGAUUAGCCAUUUAGGUAGUCUUCCUAACUCUGGAUGUGAUACCUAUUGUUAAGUGAGUCUCUACUUCCGAACUUGGUUUGCGUAGGUGGGAGUCUAUUACAUGUUCAGUAAGCAGAGUCUAUCAGGCCAUGUCAUUCUAUCACUUAUCUGAAAUACACAAGCGGACCCACCAGUGCAUCAUCCUUUUUUGUCAAGUUGUCAAAAUAUUAGACCAUGCAUUGUGAGAUGUUGCAAAUUAUUAUAUCAAGCUCAACUUCCUGGCCAUUGAAAUAUUCAACUCUGACUGACUGAAGGGAUCGAUGAUUGUACAUAGAUGUUAGAUUUUGACCGAACAAGGUAGACAGUACAUGGCCCUAGAGUAGGCGUUGGCACGGACAGUUCUCGAUGGGUUUCUUCACAACUUGCCACUAUCAUUCAUGAUCUCAUGGGGUGCUGCUAUUUUUUCCAAUCUGUCUAAACUCCCUAGGGCUGUCACAUCUUCCUUUUUUAAUAUAUUUUCUCCGAAAAGUAUUGGUAAAAGGAAAGAAAAUGAAAUAAUUUCUGUGAAAACAACUUAUCCGUAUUUUUGUAUGUGGAUUUGAAUAGGGAGAUGAUGACAAGUUCCUGGCCGAGCAGCUGCUACCUGGCAACUUCGAGGAGGCGUGCAAGGCUGCCGGGGUUCCCCUGACCCUCCGCAUGCAACCUGGAUAUGACCAUUCCUUCUUUUUCAUCGCGACAUUCAUUGAUGAUCAUAUCGCCCACCAUGCUCAGUUUCUCAAGAGCGCCUGACUGGCAAGUCACCUGUAGUGAUGCAGUCAGUAGAAAGGCGUCUGAGCCAGCCGCGUUGCUUCGAUGAGUGUAAGCCUACCAUCUCUGUUAUCUUCUGUCUGUAAUGGACAUGCUGUUUGUUGGUGAGGUGAACACCUAACGGUUUACCCAGCUGGUAAUAAUUCGGACUGCUGUUAUCGCGUCUCAAGCGUGCCACAGCUGUCAUUUGCUUUGUGUAAUCGUUGGCCCGGGCGCGAGCUAUUUUCUGGAGGAAAGAAGUGAUUGUAUGUGCCACCGUCUGACUCUUGUAUGCUUUUACAGGGGAGCAAAUCGUCUGAUCCCUGUUUAUCAGCUAAAAGUUGGCUCGUAGCACGCCAAUGUCAGUGUCACGCCUCCUCCAGCUACAAAGUCAGCGAUUCAGUACGCAUCAACCGAGCAUGGUUUUCCCCACGAAGACGCCGAGCUUUUCUCCGUGCAAUUGCCCGUCUCGUGAACCCCGAAUCAAUCACUGUCCGUCCACAUCUCAUCUGACUGGGUACCUCGCUGUCGAUCUUAGCACAGUAGAGGAGAUGCGAAUGCGAUCGAUCCAUUCCAAGCGCGUCAAAUGCGUGUGGGGACAGUAGUUCCACGGGCGCCGGGCGAGAGUGAGCUAUAGCUGCUGCAAGCCUGCAAUAGUGUUCCUGUCCUACUUAACAAUUUCAAUACGGUGAAUUUCACUUGUUUACCGUUACAGACUCUCGACGUUACUGUUUUCCUUUUGCCGCUGCUUACUCGCCGUUAAAAAAAUAAUCUUAAAACUUAUCCCAUUCCGAUGCGCAUUGCCGGCCUGAAAAGCUCCCACUCAGCCGCCCACACAACCAUUCUUUACAAACGAUUCCAGCUCCUCUUUUCUUUCUUUCUUUUGGCUACGUGUGCCUCCCCAGCCCAGCCGUUGGAGUGAGUCCAAAGCGAUGGACGCAGCCGCCCAAGUAAACUAUGCUAGCAGCGCCGUUCCGGAGGCCGGCCAACGCAUCGGCGGCAAUUGCCCGGCACUUUCGCACGCGCCAGUCGAUGCCGGGGCAGGUGGCCGACCGUCUGUCCCGACCCCGUAACCCACGCGGCAUCUGAUGGAGGCCCAUGCUGGAGUAAAGUAUCCUUUAUUACACUACGCUGCCCAAGAUCGGAUCUGAAGCUUGACAAGCCAACACGGAUGACGUCUACUCUGACCGGCUGACACACGGGCCCGGUUACGGCACUGGCCCGCGCGCCAGCCAGGAGGCCAGUGCGGGUUCCGGGGCCGGUGGUGUACCAGCUUGGAGAAACCCCUCUGCUCCCGGCGCUUAUUUCUACCGCUGCUAGCCGCGUGUGGAGGGGGCAAAAGCGACUGAGAAAGAGGCCGUCGAGCCUUGGAGCUCCUGGCCAGGGGCUCCGGCUACCGGCCGGCCCCCUCCUCCUAAAGCUCGCCUUUCCGGCGAGCAUGUAUCAACUGAAGAAGAGAGCCUGAGGGACAAGGAUAUGAACUGAGGAACAGGAGGUUUGCUGCUCUCUUCUUUUCGUUAUACUAGAUCGUCGAAUUUAAUUGAUUUCGUCAGUAACAGUGAGACGUGCAUGCCGAUACUUUUUGUUUUGUGUUGGCAUAGGAGUAUUAGAAUAGAGCGUGUGUCAUCCAGUAUAGAUCUACAGCGUUGGUAUAUGGCAGUAGGAGUAUUUGUAGGAGGGUUGCUCUAUUUUUAUUUAUUUUUGCCUUAGCUAGAUGCAUGAUAUCGUCAGUUAAUAUUGUUCAAGAACCAAUAGAUGCUGCAUCUUGAUUGGGUUUUUUAUUACUGACCGUGUCAAAAAUUCAUGUAGGUGUACUAUCAGUACGGAAUCUAAAGAGUGUGACCACGCAUGAGUUCUUUCUCUGAGAGGCUAGUCUUUUUGGCUAGCAAACAGCACAUAAAAACAGAGCAACAGCUGUAUGGUCUGCUCACAGCUGCUUGUUGAAUGAUAGUUGGAAGAGAUGAAGGUGCGGUAUUAUUAUUUAGCUAUUACCAUACACCUUACUUACGGAGAUCCGACAACGAGCACAUGAGAUCAAGUAUCAUAUCAUGUACGCGGCACACCUUGGCCAUGUCCUUGUCGUCGAUGUCUACUGGUUGGAUCAUGCUUCUAUUUAUAAGCUCAUUGAAGUAACUCUCUCCGAGCUCAAAUAGGCCAAUUUUUUGUUUGUGUGAUACACAAAACCUUCAGCUACCCACUUCCAUAUCAAAUCAUCUCUCUUGGUUUUCUUGUCUUUUGGAAAUAUACUUUGAUAUGAUAAAAGAUGAGAAGGUAGAUCCUAGCUAGAACAACAUCAUAUUAAGUCUUUAGUCUCAAGUAAGUCCGGGUAGGCUAGAGAUGAAAUCCAAUAGGAGCUUAACGUUGUUUCAGGUAGUGUACAACUUGUUAGUAAAAGAUGCUUACUUGUAGAUUAUGCCAAACCAUGAUCUAUAAGUCAAGUCUCUUUUACUAAUAGUUUUGAUCCACCUUCUCAUCUUUAGUGUUAGUUAUCAUAUUUAACUAUGUAUUCAGAAGAUUAGAAGAUUAUGAGAGAUAACUUGAUAUGUAAGUGGGUAGUUGAAUGUUUUGUUUAUCAUGAAAACAAGAAAUUAGCCUACGUGAGCCCGGAGAGAGUAACUCAAUGAGCACAUAAAUAGAAGCAUGAUUCAACCAAUAGACACCGAUGACGACUGUGAAGGCAAGGAAAUGUAUUAUUGUAUACGUGUGUGUGCAUGAUAUUAUGGUUGAUCCCAUAUGUUCCUUGCCAACCGAAGACAAACUUGUGACAAGAUUGCAUGGUUUGAGCAAACAUCAUCAUCAAGCAAGAUCCAAGAUUAUUCAUCUGAAAAGAGUACGGCGGAUAUGGCCACCAUCAGGAUUCCAGAAGCGGGGUAUCUGGGACCUAUUGUUGACCAAGUAUACAGCUUGGUUCAUGCAAGCUUUCAGGUUCUAUGUGGAAUGGAUUUUAUUGGUCUCACUUCCAUUUAUCCCAACCAAGAUGGUCAAGACUGAUCAAGAUUCAAGAGCACUGUAUUUGCCUUUUCGCCGUUGGAUGACAUGAAGCUCUCUGUCUGAUUCUGUUCUCCAAUGUUUGAAUUCUCUUAUUGCUUCUGUCAAAUGAAGAACCAUGUAAUUUCUAGAGUGGCUCCUGCAUUCUGCUUCUUUUAAAAGCAGUAUAAUUGUAACCCUGAUGUACUGCUGGCUGGUUCAUUUGCCUGCUUCAGAUACUUAAUUAAUUGCACUGCUUCCUAGCAGAUUUCAGACACGUUUUAUUCCAGACUUGUGAAUGAAGUGCCGUAUUCAGAUUCAGUCC